rnacentral:rRNA from 1 species
CCUACGGGGGACAGCAGUGAGGAAUAUUGGUCAAUGGGCGCGAGUCUGAACCAGCCAAGUAGCGUGAAGGAUGACUGCCCUAUGGGUUGUAAACUUCUUUUAUAUGGGAAUAAAAUGUUCCACGUGUGGGAUUUUGUAUGUACCAUAUGAAUAAGGAUCGGCUAACUCCGUGCCAGCAGCCGCGGUAAUACGGAGGAUCCGAGCGUUAUCCGGAUUUAUUGGGUUUAAAGGGAGCGUAGGUGGAUUGUUAAGUCAGUUGUGAAAGUUUGCGGCUCAACCGUAAAAUUGCAGUUGAAACUGGCAGUCUUGAGUACAGUAGAGGUGGGCGGAAUUCGUGGUGUAGCGGUGAAAUGCUUAGAUAUCACGAAGAACUCCGAUUGCGAAGGCAGUUCACUGGACUGCAACUGACACUGAGGCUCGAAAGUGUGGGUAUCAAACAGGAUUAGAUACCCCAGUAGUC